CGCGCCAGGCGGGGUAGUAGCGGCACCCUGUACCCGAAAUCCGCUAUAGCGGGGCUGGAUUCCUUCCCUCGGAUUGGAAACAAUGGCACGCGUUGUAUGGGAGAAUGUUGACGGUCGGGUCCUGUGCAAUGUCAUCCUGUGAAUCAUGUCAGGCCUUGACGGGAGCAGCAUUAAACAGAACGUGGCAUGUGCCGCAGGGAAACCGGGCUGGAGUUCUUCUUUGCAAUGGCUCUGUUGAAUCCUUUUCAACGGAAGGUGCGCG
rnacentral:SRP_RNA from 1 species